CAGCGUCAUGGUAUAGGACUGAACGUCUCUGACCACCUUCUAUCUCUCGUUCGGUGGGUGGCUCAUGCGCGUCCUCGACAUCUUCAAAAGUGAAGUCUUCCCUUUGGCAAAGGACAAAGGGAACACCGCGCGGUACAGAAUAGGCUGUAAGCGUACGCGCUAUACGAUCCGAGGCCUCGAUGUCCCUCGUGCUCAGCUCGAUCGAGGCAUUCAUGUGCACUCGAUUUGGAUCGUUCCACAUCUCCCGGCUCCCAGGGAGAAACUCAGAAGUGAUGAAUACAAAUUCU
rnacentral:lncRNA from 1 species